rnacentral:lncRNA from 1 species
AAAGAAGUUUAGACACACCAUAAUCAUUUAUAUAUAAUGAAUUAAUACAAUAUUUUACACUUUAUACAUUGCAUCGUAAAAUACAUGAGUGACCUAGCAAGGUCUAAAAUAUCGAUGAUAUCGGAAAUAUCGGUAGUCCAAAAAAACGGAAAUUUCGAUGGAAAUAUCGAGAUAUUAUGGAUAUUUUAGACCAUGCUUGUGAUAGACCUGUGAUUUUUUCUUCUUCUUAUUAGAAGGAGCAAUGGGAGAUAGUCCGUAUUGUUCACAAAACGUACCUAAUUCGUAUUUAGCAAUAGAUUUGUCUUUAUUAAUUUGUUUUGAGAUUUUCAUGUCUAUACACAUUUUCAAGCCUUCCUUCUGGAUAAUAUUAAUUAUAUUUCCAUAAGUAAGGUUAUGAUAUGGUAUAAUACCAUCUUCAUUAAUUAAGACAUUUCUAAUUUUGUGUGCAAAAAGGUUUAGUAAUCCAUUUAUAAAUUUUUCUUUCCAAAAAGGUUGGUUACUGUCUUCUCUAAGCAUGACUCUAGAUAUGAAUACAUCUUUGUACCAUCUAAAGUCGCUUAAAAUUGGACAUCUCAGAUUUUUGAGUUGAUCAUGAAUUCUGGAAGUGACAUUACUAGGUGUUCCUAUGAAGUGUUCUAUUAUUGUGAAAGGUAAAGUGUUAACUACGUCUGGGACACCUUGCCCAAUGUGUUCAUCAAAAAUAGGUAUUCCUUCCUCGUUUUUUUAACAACAUUUUUUAUUUCAUUUCUGGAUUGUUCAGUGAGAUGUUUCUCCCACCAGGAAUGAAGCAUUCCCGCAAAUCCAAUGACCAAAAGGUCAACAACAUGAGGUUCGCGAAGGUUAUGAUUGGUAAUAUAACUAUCAGCAACCAUAGAGAUGUGUUGGAGUUUGUUAAGAAGCUCUUGUUCUGACAAACCAUCG